UGUCACUAAAAACUUAUAGCCAACCAGAAAAUCACACAACUUUUUGACUUGAUUGUUCUUUGUUUUAUCACACUAAUAAUCUUAAAGCCAAAUUGAUCACAAGUACAUUUCAACGCCGAAGGCUACAUGUUGUAAGAAGUUUGUUUUUCAACAACAAAUUUCUUUUAAUCCUUGUCGUCUGUGAGACUUAAACCUAAAACCCCCUCCCAAACCUAGGUAUUGGUUGAAAUUUCUUGAACAACGUUGUGGCAAUGAGUCGGGUGCAGCUUAAUUUGCCAUGGUGAGCAAGUGUUUUCUGUUGAUGAUAACAUAAAAUUCACCUGUAGAGAAAUUCAGAUAGUAUCUAACCAUGAAUCAAAAUCAUCAAGUGGUUCAGAUUUGGGGACUUGUUGAGUCUGUGACGCAUUUCUCUGAUGAAGCAGAGGUGGAGUAGAAGUUUCCUUGAGCAAGUCGUCAAGUGUUCCAUCGAUAUCAAAAUCUACCGUGGAGCUCAAGGUAGAUGACGCCUUCUCCUUCAAGUUAACAUCGUCAAAAGAAUCAAGCAGCAUAUCAAGUUCAAGUUCAGCUUUAGGUUUUGACUCGUUUGCACUACAACUUGCAACUGUGAGAUGGUGCGCCCUUGGGUUCACGUGGGUGUUGCUCUUGGUGGCGGUGGAUGGUGCGAGGUCAUACGCUUGAUACCUGCACGGGAGGGAACAAAUCUGCCUCCAUGAAAAGCCUUUUUGGUAGAUCCAUCUUUGCGAGUUGGUUUGCCAGAGCAUGCAUAUUCAGCGAGAGAAAUG
rnacentral:lncRNA from 1 species